rnacentral:misc_RNA from 1 species
UCACUACUUACGUAGGCAGUCUCUUUAGAGUCCCCAGCAUAACCUGAUGGCAACUAAGGAUAGGGGUUGCGCUCGUUGCGGGACUUAACCCAACACCCCACGGCACGAGCUGACGACAGCCAUGCAGCACCUUGUUUUGUGCCCCUUGCGGGGAAAGUACCUUUCGGCACCGGUCACUCACAUUCAAGCCCAGGUAAGGUUUCUCGCGUAUCAUCGAAUUAAACCACAUGCUCCUCCGCUUGUGCGGGCCCCCGUCAAUUUCUUCGAGUUUCAGCCUUGCGGCCGUACUCCCCAGGCGGGGCACUUCAUGCGUUAGCGCCGGCACCCAGGGGGUCGCUCCCCCAGGCACCUAGUGCCCAUCGUUUACGGCGUGGACUAC